rnacentral:rRNA from 1 species
AAUCAACGCUGGCGGCGUGCCUCAGACAUGCAAGUCGAACGAUUAAACUUUCCUUCGGGAAAGAUAUAAAGUGGCGCACGGGUGAGUAACACGUAAGUAAUCUACCUUCGAGUGGGGAAUAACGUUCGGAAACGAACGCUAAUACCGCAUAAUGCAGCGGCACCUAAUGGUGACAGUUGUUAAAGGAGCAAUUCGCUUGAAGAGGAGCUUGCGGCAGAUUAGCUAGNGGUAAGGUAACGGCUUACCAAGCUACGAUCUGUAACCGGUCUAAGAGGACGGUCGGUCACACUGACACUGAAUAACGGGUCAGACUCCUACGGGA